rnacentral:lncRNA from 1 species
AGACUCGACGCCUUCCGCGUCUUCAAACUCCAUGGCCGCCAAGUCGUUCGCGCCCUUGACAACCUUGUGAACCCAGCGCGCGUUGGCCAGCUCUGCGAGGUGGUUGUGAAACGACGUGUCCGCGUAGAGCGGGAAAGAAGGCGACGUCAAGCUCGUGUACUUGAGAUCGCCGUCGACGUAGAACUCAAUCGCGCCCGCGUCGUUCACGAUCACUUGGAAAGUCUCACCCGCGACGAAGACGCCGGCAUCGAACUUGUUCACGCCCUUCUCUUGGAAUCGGACCUGAUUGCCGUUGCAGAACACGGCGUAGUCGAUGGUCGUUUGGCUGUGGCCCGAGGGCGUGCUCGACAAGCCAAACUGCAAGUGCCUGUUGUCGGUGCGCAUGCAGUCGCCGGAAAUGCCGCGAACCUCGUCGCCGACUUUCGUGAUGGCGCGCGCGCUGUACGCACCUCUUGCCCAGUUGUUCCCGCCUUGAGUACGUUUGAGGUAGCCCUGUUUGCCGUCCGUCGUCAUGCCCUGCGAAAGUCCGACCCACUCGAUGAGAUCGAGAUCCCGUGAACCUUUAUGAACAACUUUUAUCCACUUCACAUUUUCGAGGUGUCCUCCACCUUCAUCAACGUAUCCAUCGGCAAACAAUGGGAAGAUCGGUUCUCUGCUACUAUUGUAGACAGAAUGUCCUUCUUUAUAAUAGUGAACGAUACCCUCGUCAUUAAAUGCGACCUGGAACGUUUCUCCCGCGAGGUAUGUUCCGAUCGUGGCCAUAAGCUCACCGUCUUCGUAAACUUCCAUUGUUCCGGCAUUGCAACCAACGGCAUACUCAAUAGCAUCGCCAUCCGAGGGUGUGUAAUGAGCGCUGCUCAAACCGAAUAUCAUUUUCGUUGUUGUGUCACUGCAAUCCGCAGAAAUACCGCGAACUUCGUCAUAAAUUUUAGUUACGGCGCGUUUACUUGUCGAGCGCACAAUGUCCAUUUUUUCAGGUGUAACCGGCAAGUACACGUCGCCGUGUGACACUUCACAUCGCUGGACUGUUUCAAAGUCCAUCAUGUUUAGCCAAUGCAUGUGGCUUAGCUUCGCACCUUCGGUGAAGAUUCGAGCCUGGGAGUAAAGAGGGAAUUCAACACUUUUAGUGCUGACAUGAAGAACAUUACCAUUUUGCAGAUACUCGAUGACACCAUGCUCGUUGAUGACGAUAGAAAAUGUCUCUCCAGGGCUGUACGCCGAAGGAGGCUCGACAAUGCGCUCGUGCCUUUGGAAGGCUGACGCAUUGUGUUGGUCAUUUAUGUAUUCGGGUGAAUCACUAUCCAAUGAAUCAAGUGCCAAGUCUGGCGAAGUACCAAGAUGUGUUGAAGGCGGUGGACCUUGAGCAUCGUUCUCCGGGGUCGGGACUUGAAGUUGGCCUUCAAUCCCAUGUGGUGUAUUCGGCUCGGGACGUCGAUGUGGCUCGAUUGUUUUGAUGACAACUCCAUCUUCAAGGAGACGCAACGUUCCGGCAUCACAGUAUAUCGCAAAGGACAGGUUCGUCUGCGCCGGAGCAGUAGCGGUUUCAUUCGCAGCGGUUUCAUUCAACUGAGCAUCUUGAUCACCUUGCACCAUGAGUCCAAACAUCAUCUGUGACUUGUUGUCGGAACAAUCGGCAGACACGCCUUUUUUGGUGUCAUUCCAACCGCGAAUUGAUGAACGACUCGUUGCGAAAGCAAGUAAUGAAGCUUCUUCGAUGCGUUUUGCCGCCUCUUCACUCAACACGUGAGCGAGAGAUCCAGGUGUAAGAGUCGCAUUCUCAGGUAGAAGGAACUCAACAGGCUCAAGGUCAUCGGCACCUUCAAUGAUUCGGUAAACCCAGCGCGCGUUGGCCAGCUCUGCGAGGUGGUUGUGAAACGACGUGUCGGCGUAGAGCGGGAAAGAAGGCGACGUCAAGCUCGUGUACUUGAGAUCGCCGUCGACGUAGAACUCAAUCGCGCCCGCGUCGUUCACGAUCACUUGGAAAGUCUCACCCGCGACGAAGACGCCGGCAUCGAACUUGUUCACGCCCUUCUCUUGGAAUCGGACCUGAUUGCCGUUGCAGAACACGGCGUAGUCGAUGGUCGUUUGGCUGUGGCCCGAGGGCGUGCUCGACAAGCCAAACUGCAAGUGCCUGUUGUCGGUGCGCAUGCAGUCGCCGGAAAUGCCGCGAAUCUCGUCGCCGACUUUCGUGAUGGCGCGCGCGCUGUACGCGCCUCUUGCCCAGUUGUUCCCGCCUUGAGUACGUUUGAGGUAGCCCUGUUUGCCGUCCGUCGUCAUGCCCUGCGAAAGUCCGACCCACUCGAUGAGAUCCAAGUCGUUCGCACCCUCGUGGACAGUCUGUAUCCAGGAGACUCGAGAGAAAGACGCGCCUGCAGUGUUGAAGCGCGCGGUGGCGUAGAGCGGGAAGGCAGGCGCCUCAUCAGACGUCGCAAACGCCGCGCCAUCCUUGUAGUACGUGACGACGCCCGAGUCGAGCACGACCACUUGGAACGUCUCACCGACGAAGUAAUCGCCAAAGUCGCCGUCGCGCACGACGCCGUGUUCGGAGAUGCGGAUCACGCCGUUGUCGCACACAAUGCCGAAGUCGACCACCUCGUCGACGGAGUUCGUCGAGCCAGAGUUCAAGCCAAUCAUCAUGGACUUGUCCGUUUGGUCGCAAUCCGCGGAGACGCCACGCACUUCGUCGCCGAUCUUCGUGAUGGCACGUUUGCUCGUGGCGCCGACGUUCCAGCCACUGCCUGCCAUUGUGCGCGUCACUUGGCCCGCGGAAGACUCGACGCCUUCCGCGUCUUCAAACUCCAUGGCCGCCAAGUCGUUCGCGCCCUUGACAACCUUGUGAACCCAGCGCGCGUUGGCCAGCUCUGCGAGGUGGUUGUGAAACGACGUGUCCGCGUAGAGCGGGAAAGAAGGCGACGUCAAGCUCGUGUACUUGAGAUCGCCGUCGACGUAGAACUCAAUCGCGCCCGCG